CCUACGGGCGGCAGCAGUGGGGAAUAUUGGACAAUGGGCGCAAGCCUGAUCCAGCCAUACCGCGUGGGUGAAGAAGGCCUUCGGGUUGUAAAGCCCUUUUGUUGGGAAAGAAAAGCAGUCGGCUAAUACCCGGUUGUUCUGACGGUACCCAAAGAAUAGGCACCGGCUAACUUCGUGCCAGCAGCCGCGGUAAUACGAAGGGUGCAAGCGUUACUCGGAAUUACUGGGCGUAAAGCGUGCGUAGGUGGUUGUUUAAGUCUGUUGUGAAAGCCCUGGGCUCAACCUGGGAAUUGCAGUGGAUACUGGGCGACUAGAGUGUGGUAGAGGGUAGUGGAAUUCCCGGUGUAGCAGUGAAAUGCGUAGAGAUCGGGAGGAACAUCCAUGGCGAAGGCAGCUACCUGGACCAACACUGACACUGAGGCACGAAAGCGUGGGGAGCAAACAGGAUUAGAUACCCCGGUAGUC
rnacentral:rRNA from 1 species